rnacentral:rRNA from 1 species
AACGAACGCUGGCGGCAGGCUUAACACAUGCAAGUCGAGCGCCCCGCAAGGGGAGCGGCAGACGGGUGAGUAACGCGUGGGAACGUACCCUUUGCUACGGAAUAGCUCCGGGAAACUGGAAUUAAUACCGUAUGUGCCCUACGGGGGAAAGAUUUAUCUGGAAAGGAUCGGCCCGCGUUGGAUUAGCUAGUUGGUGGGGUAAUGGCAUACCAAGGCGACGAUCCAUAGCUGGUCUGAGAGGAUGAUCAGCCACAUUGGGAAUGAGACACGGCCCAAACUCCUACGGGAGGCAGCAGUGGGAAAUAUUGGACGAUGGGCGCAAGCCUGAUCCAGCCAUGCCGCGUGAGUGAUGAAGGCCUUAGGGUUGUAAAGCUCUUUCACCGGAGAAGAUAAUGACGGUAUCCGGAGAAGAAGCCCCGGCUAACUUCGUGCCAGCCGCCGCGGUAAAAC